ACGAGCUUUAGCUUAAAACUCAAAGGACUUGACGGUAUCCUAACCAAUUAGAGGAGCCUGUUCUAUAAUCGACAACCCACGAUACACCUAACCACUUCUUGCUUUCAGCCUGUAUACCUCCGUCGCAAGCUUACCACUUGAAUGAACAUAGUAACGCUCAAAGAUUAACCACCCACACGUCAGGUCAAGGUGCAGCUUAUGAAAUGGAAGCAAUGGGCUACAAUCUCUAACUUAGAGCAAACGAAAUACUGCAUAUGAAAUAUGGUCACGAAGGAGGAUCUAAUAGUAAAUAAGAAAUAACGAGCCUUAUUAAACUCGGCCCUAGGAUGCGUACACACC
rnacentral:rRNA from 1 species